rnacentral:lncRNA from 1 species
AGAUAGACAGAUAGACAGUCAGAUAGACAGGUAGACAGUCAGAUAGACAGGUAGACAGACAGAUAGACAGGUAGACAGUCAGAUAAACAGGUAGACAGUCAGAUAAAGAGGUAGACAGUCAGAUAAACAGGUAGACAGACAGAUAGACAGGUAGAUAAACAGGUAGACAGACAGAUAAACAGGUAGAAAGACAGAUAAACAGGUAGACAGUCAGAUAGACAGGUAGACAGACAGGUAGACAGGUAGACAGACAGAUAGACAGGUAGAUAGACAGGUAGACAGACAGAUAAACAGGUAGACAGUCAGACAGGUAGACAGACAGAUAGACAGGUAGAUAGACAGAUAGACAGUCUGAUAAACAGGUAGACAGACAGAUAGACAGUCUGAUAAACAGGUAGACAGACAGAUAAACAGGUAGACAGUCAGAUAAACAGGUAGACAGUCAGAUAAACAGGUAGACAGUCAGACAGUCAGGUAGACAGGUAGACAGUCAGACAGACAGGUAGACAGGUAGACAGUGAAAUAAACAGGCAGAUCUUUGGUCAAUAUAGUUUUUUAUUACAGUAAAUUAAAUACAUUGUAAAAAUGUGUUUUUAUAAUAUUCCUAUAACGAUACAGGUGGGGUGAGUCCCAAUGAACGACCCACAGGGUGAUUCCCAAUGUAGCCUCGUCUGACCCAGAACGACCCAUAGGGUGAUUCCCGAUGUAGUCUCGUCUGACCCAGAACGACCCAUAGGGUGAUUCCCGAUGUAGUCUCGUCUGAUCCAGAACGACCCAUAGGGUUAGCCCUAGUAGAGCAGUCUGAUCCAGAACGACCCAUAGGGUUAGCCCUAGUAGAGCAGUCUGAUCCAGAACGACCCAUAGGGUUAGCCCUAGUAGAGCAGUCUGAUCCAGAACGAC